UACAGAAGGGGCAAGCGUUAUUCGGAAUUAUUGGGCGUAAAGGGCGCGUAGGCGGCCUUUCAAGUCUCUCGUGAAAUCCCUCGGCUUAACCGAGGACGUGCGGGAGAUACUGUCAGGCUUGAGUCCGGAAGAGGGUGGUGGAAUUCCCAGUGUAGCGGUGAAAUGCGUAGAUAUUGGGAGGAACACCGGUGGCGAAGGCGGCCACCUGGGCCGGAACUGACGCUGAGGCGCGAAAGCGUGGGUAGCAAACGGG
rnacentral:rRNA from 1 species